CGACCGCGUGAGCGAAGAAGGCCUUCGGGUCGUAAGGCUCUGUUGUUAGGGAAGAACAAGUACGAGAGUAACUGCUCGUACCUUGACGGUACCUAACCAGAAAGCCACGGCUAACUACGUGCCAGCAGCCGCGGUAAUACGUAGGUGGCAAGCGUUGUCCGGAAUUAUUGGGCGUAAAGCGCGCGCAGGCGGUCCUUUAAGUCUGAUGUGAAAGCCCACGGCUCAACCGUGGAGGGUCAUUGGAAACUGGGGGACUUGAGUGCAGAAGAGGAGAGUGGAAUUCCACGUGUAGCGGUGAAAUGCGUAGAGAUGUGGAGGAACACCAGUGGCGAAGGCGACUCUCUGGUCUGUAACUGACGCUGAGGCGCGAAAGCGUGGGGAGCAAACAGGAUUAGAUACCCUGGUAGUCCACGCCGUAAACGAUGAGUGCUAAGUGUUAGAGGGUUUCCGCCCUUUAGUGCUGCAGCUAACGCAUUAAGCACUCCGCCUGGGGGGUACGGCCGCAAGGCUG
rnacentral:rRNA from 1 species